AAUGAAUGAUGACAAAAUGUUUCGGUCCCAGAUGACAUAGAAUGAUUCUACUUUUCCCCCUUUCUGACAUU
rnacentral:snoRNA from 1 species